rnacentral:rRNA from 1 species
UACGAAGGGGGCUAGCGUUGCUCGGGAUCACUGGGCGUAAAGGGUGCGUAGGCGGGUUUUAAGUCAGGGGUGAAAUCCUGGAGCUCAACUCCAGACUGCCUUUGAUACUGAAGAUCUUGAGUUCGGGAGAGGUGAGUGGAACUGCGAGUGUAGAGGUGAAAUUCGUAGAUAUUCGCAAGAACACCAGUGGCGAAGGCGGCUCACUGGCCCGAUACUGACGCUGAGGCACGAAAGCGUGGGGAGCAAACAGG